ACCCAGAGUCACUGCUGUGGCCGCCGCCAUUUUAGCAUUUUGUCAGAAUCUUCCGUGCUGCGAGUAGGAGGAUCUGCAGAUUUCCAUGUGGUGAGAGACUCCAAGUCCUCCUACUGUGUUCUUUGCACUGUUAAAACUUAACUGACUCCCUUGGGCGUCAGGGUUGUCAGUUGGGUCGCGGCCUGCGCACCCGUUACUGAGAGCCGACCUCGGUCCUCGACUUGUGCGGCUGUGUGGAGAUGGUGAAGCUGUUCAUUGGAAAUCUGCCCCGGGAGGCCACAGAGCAAGAGAUCCGCUCACUCUUCGAGCAGUACGGGAAGGUGCUGGAAUGUGACAUCAUUAAGAACUAUGGCUUUGUGCACAUAGAGGACAAGACGGCCGCUGAGGAUGCCAUACGCAACCUGCACCACUACAAGCUGCACGGAGUGAACAUCAAUGUGGAAGCCAGCAAGAAUAAGAGCAAAGCUUCAACCAAGUUACAUGUGGGCAACAUCAGUCCCACUUGUACCAACCAAGAGCUUCGGGCCAAGUUUGAGGAGUAUGGCCCAGUCAUCGAAUGUGACAUCGUGAAAGAUUAUGCCUUUGUACACAUGGAGCGGGCAGAGGAUGCAGUGGAGGCCAUCAGGGGCCUUGACAACACAGAGUUUCAAGGCAAACGAAUGCACGUGCAGUUGUCCACCAGCCGGCUUAGGACUGCGCCCGGGAUGGGAGACCAGAGCGGCUGCUAUCGGUGCGGGAAAGAGGGCCAUUGGUCCAAAGAGUGUCCAAUAGAUCGUUCGGGCCGCGUGGCAGACUUGACUGAGCAGUAUAAUGAGCAAUAUGGAGCAGUGCGUACGCCUUACACCAUGAGUUAUGGGGAUUCAUUGUAUUACAACAACACAUACGGAGCGCUCGAUGCCUACUACAAGCGCUGCCGUGCUGCCCGGUCCUAUGAGGCAGUGGCAGCUGCAGCUGCCUCUGCAUAUAACUAUGCAGAGCAGACUCUGUCCCAGCUGCCACAAGUUCAGAACACAGCCAUGGCCAGUCACCUCACCUCCACCUCUCUCGAUCCCUACAAUAGACAUCUGUUGCCGCCUUCAGGAGCUGCUGCAGCAGCAGCAGCUGCUGCUGCUUGUACUGCAGCUUCUACUUCAUAUUACGGGCGGGAUCGGAGCCCCCUGCGUCGCGCUACAGGCCCAGUCCCCACUGUUGGAGAGGGCUACGGUUACGGGCAUGACAGUGAGUUGUCCCAAGCUUCAGCAGCCAUGCGGAAUUCCCUGUACGACAUGGCCCGGUAUGAGCGGGAGCAGUAUGCGGAUCGGGCACGGUACUCAGCCUUUUAAAGUUUGAGGGCUUCUAAUAAUGGGAGUCAUUCUCAUUGUAUUUGUGUCUGGAACAGCAAACAAUGGUGUACUGGUGAAUCUUGGGUCAAAUCUGUGUGCUGUAAUUGACCCGGGAUCCAGACAUUCAGACUUAGGUGGGAUGUGUGUGGGCUGAAAUUCCGAGCUGCGGUUGUGCAUGAGAAUACACCCUUCGUGGUACCCCAUCUCCGGGACGUUCUCGGCUCUGUGCGUUCAGUCCCUCAGGAACCAUGGACCUUAAUUUACCUUGUUAAGUUCAGACAUUCUUUUUCCUAUUCUCCCUCCUGCUCAAUUUCCUGUUCUGUUUAUUCUUCUGUAGCUUUCCAUUCAUGUUCUGUUCUCCCAGCAUGCCUCCUCUGCAGAAACUGGUGGUGGCUGUGCUGUCUUUUCCCUGCCUCCUGACUGUAGUGGGUAUUGGAUUUGGGAAUGACCUUGCUGAGAAUCACUGCUACAGGUUUUCUAUUUUGGCCCAAAGGCUAGUCCUAGAGUUUUGGAUCCCUUUCCAGUGAAAUAAAUGGUUUUUCAAAUUA